UUCCGGAUAGUCCAGUGGUUAAGACUCCGCACUUCCAAUGCGGGAGGCCGUGGGUUCAAGCCCUGUUUGGGGAA
rnacentral:tRNA from 1 species